GACGUAGGGCGCGAGCGUUGUCCGGAUUUAUUGGCGUAAAGAGCUCGUAGGCGGCUUGUCGCGUCGACUGUGAAAACCCGAGGCUCAACUUCGGGCUUGCAGUCGAUACGGGCAGGCUUGAGUUCGGUAGGGGAGACUGGAAUUCCUGGUGUAGCGGUGAAAUGCGCAGAUAUCAGGAGGAACACCGAUGGCGAAGGCAGGUCUCUGGGCAUUAACUGACGCUGAGGAGCGAAAGCAUGGGGAGCGAACAGG
rnacentral:rRNA from 1 species